AGAGUUACAAGCAAGCAAGGGCACAUGGUGGAUGCCUUGGCGCCAGGAGGCGAUGAAGGACGUGGCUACCUGCGAUAAGCCUCGGGGAGUGGGAAGCACGCUUUGAUCCGGGGAUUUCCGAAUGGGGUAACCCGGUACGAGUAAUGUCGUACCAUACCAGGUUGAAUCCAUAGACCUGGAUAAGCGAAACCCGCUGAAGUGAAACAUCUCAGUAAGCGGAGGAAAAGAAAGCGAAAGCGAUUCCGUUAGUAGUGGCGAGCGAAAGCGGAACAGCCCAAACCAGUCAGCUUGCUGACUGGGGUUGUAGGACCACCAUAUAGGCAGUUGUAGAGCUAGGAGAAGCGGAUGGAAAGUCGCCCCAUAGAAGGUGAGAGGCCUGUAUCUUAAAGCUUGCGCAACGCCUGGUGGUAUCCUGAGUAACGCGAUGCACGGGAAACUUCGCGUGAAUCUGCGCGGACCACCGCGUAAGGCUAAAUACUACCUGGCGACCGAUAGUGAACCAGUACCGUGAGGGAAAGGUGAAAAGAACCCCGAUGAGGGGAGUGAAAUAGAACCUGAAACCGUGUGCCUACAAGGUGUCAGAGCCCGAAAGGGUGAUGGCGUGCCUUUUGCUUAAUGAGUCUGCGAGUUACUGUCUGUGGCAAGUCUAAAUCCUUUUAGGAUGGAGGCGAAGCGAAAGCGAGUCUGAAUAGGGCGUUUGAGCUGCAGGCAGUAGACCCGAAGGGGAGGUGAUCUACCCAUGGCCAGGAUGAAGUCACCUUAACCGGUGAUGGAGGUCCGAACGGGUGACGGUUGAAAACGUCUCCGAUGAGCUGUGGGUAGGAGCGAAAGACUAAUCAAACCCCCUGAUAGCUGGUUCUCCUCGAAAUAGAUUUAGGUCUAGCCUCAUGUGCUGACCUGUGGGGGUAAAGCACUGAAUGGACUAGGGCCCUUACCAGGGUACCGAAUCCAAUCAAACUCUGAAUACCACAGGGUGGAACAUGGGAGUAAGACGGUGGGGGAUAAGCUUCAUCGUCGAGAGGGAAACAACCCAGACCGCCAGCUAAGGUGCCAAAAUGCAGCUAAGUGGAAAGGAUGUGAAAUUUCUUAGACAGUGAGGAUGUUGGCUUAGAGGCAGCCAUCAUUUAAACAGUGCGUAAUAGCUGACUCACCGAGAAAUUUUGCGCCGAAAAUGAUUGGCGAUUAAGCUGCAUACCGAAGCUGCGGGUGUCGUUAAGACACGGUAGAGGAGCGUUCCAAAUACUGUGAAGCGGGAGGGUAACCGACCGUGGAGUGUUUGGAAGUGAGAAUGCAGACAUGAGUAACGAUAAGGCCGGUGAAAAUCCGGCCCGCCGUAAACCCAAGGUUUCCUGGGGAAGGUUCGUCCUCCCAGGGUUAGUCGGGGACUAAGUUGAGGCCGAAGGGCGUAGACGAUGUCAAGCUGGUUAAUAUUCCAGCACCACCGACAUUUAACCGGAAGGGACGCAUUUCAAGAGAAAGGCGAGGUGCUGAAAGUCCUUGUCCCGCAAGGGGACCUGAGGGAGAAAUCCUGAGGGGAUCUUUCAAAUGAAAUGCCAAGAAAAGCUUCCGGGUAGACUAAGGUGCCCGUACCGGAAACCGACACAGGUGGGUGGGUAGAGUAUACUCAGGCGCGUGAGUGAAAUCUCUUUAAGGAACUCGGCAAAUUAGCCCCGUAACUUCGGGAAAAGGGGUGCCUCCUGCAAAGGAGGUCGCAGUGAACAGCGCCAACCGACUGUUUAACAAAAACACAGCUCUCUGCAAAGUCGUGAAGACGACGUAUAGGGAGUGACACGUGACCAAUGCUGGAAGAUUAAGGGGAGAAGUUAGCCCUCAAGGCGAAGCUUUGAACCCAAGUCCCAGCGAAUGUCGGCCGUAACUAUGACGGUCCUAAGGUAGCGAAAUUCCUUGUCGGGUAAGUUCCGACCUGCACGAAUCGUGUAACGAGUUGGCGACUGUCUCAAAGAGAUGCUCAGUGAAAUUAUAGUGGCGGUGAAGAUGCCGCCUACCCACAGUAGGACGGAAAGACCCCGUGCACCUUUACUGUAUGCUGUUACUGGACUUCUGUUAUGGUUGCUUAGCGUAGGUGGGAGACUGUGAAGCUUCCUUUUCGGAGGAAGCAGAGUCGCCAAUGAAACACCACUCUUCCGUAACGGAAGUUCUAACCAAACUCUCUGAAUCGAGAUUUGGGACAAUGGCAGCUGGUCAGUUUGACUGGGGCGGUCUCCUCCUAAAAAGUAACGGAGGAGUUCUUAAGGUUCCCUCAGCACGGUUGGCAAUCGUGCGUCGAGCGCAUGGGUAGAAGGGAGCUUGACUGUAAGACCGACGGGUCGAGCAGGUACGAAAGUAGGACCAAGUGAUCCGGUGGUUGAAUGUGGAAUCGCCAUCGCUCAUCGGACAAAAGGUACGCCGGGGAUAACAGGCUGAUCGAGCCCAAGAGUCCAUAUCGACGGCUCGGUUUGGCACCUCGAUGUCGGCUCAUCGCAUCCUGGGGCUGGAGAAGGUCCCAAGGGUCCGUCUGUUCGCCGGUUAAAGCGGUACGCGAGCUGGGUUCAGAACGUCGUGAGACAGUUCGGUCCUUAUCCACUGUGGGCGCUGGAGAUCUGAGGGGUUCACUCCCUAGUACGAGAGGACCGGGAGUGACGGACCGCUGGUGUUCCGGUUGUGCCGUCAGGCGCAGCGCCGGGUAGCUAUGUCCGGAAAGGAUAAGCGCUGAAAGCAUCUAAGCGCCAAGCCAUUCCCAAGAUGAGAUCUCCCCAUCAGGGCCGUGGUAGACUACCACGUUGAUAGGCCGCGCGUGGAAGUGCAGUAAUGCAUGGAGCGGAGCGGUACUAAUAGCCCGAUUGGCUUGUAGUU
rnacentral:rRNA from 1 species